UCUGCGACUUGCAGUCACUGAGGCUGUUUUAUGCUCACCGUCCAAAUCUCUGAGCGCAAAUCUAUCUUUUCUCAUAAUUAUAAUUUUUCUAUUUCCUUAUCCUUCGCCCCCUACACCGCCCUCCUUCAGGCGGGACUCCAAUCAUACUUCACAGAGAUUUCUGGAUUUUGAUUCUUCUUUCUUGUUUUUUAUUUCAAAACAACAAUAAUUUAUUCGAGGUUUAGGGUUUUGAUCCUCCCGCCUCUCUCGAUUAAUUUAACGGAUUUUCAAAUCCCACCAUGUCUAAGAGGGUUCUUUGCAAAUUCUUUGCCCAUGGAGCAUGUUUGAAGGGGGAGCAUUGUGAAUUUUCUCAUGACUGGAAAGAUCCUCCAAACAACAUAUGUACGUUUUAUCAGAAAGGAGCCUGUGCCUAUGGCAGUCGCUGCAGAUAUGACCAUGUCAAAGCUUCCCGUGAACAGUCCUAUCAUCCAUCUUCUUCUGCCAGUGUACACCCCCUAAAUUCAGAUUCUUCUAUAGUUGGUAGUACUAGAGUUGCAUCAAAUGGGGCUGCUACAAUUCCUGAAUUGACUACUCGUAGUGGACCUUCCUUUCCUAUUAUUCCUGCAUGGAAUGGAGAAUCUGAGCCUCAUAUUCCUGAUUAUUUUCAAGCUUGGAAUCCAGAACCUGGGCAUCAGGAUUUUUUAGAGGAUAGUGAUGUCAGUGAAUCCAGAAUUAAUGAUCCUUCUGAGCGUCCUAUCUGUUCUUUUGCUGCUGCUGGUAAUUGUCCUAGGAAGGAGAAAUGCCCUUUUAUUCACGGAGAUUUGUGUCCUACCUGUGGAAAGCACUGCUUACAUCCUUUUCGACCUGAAGAAAGAGAGGAACAUACGAAUGCUUGCCAAAAAAAGCAAAAGCAUCUUGAGGCUUUGAAACGAAGUCAAGAAAUUGAAUGCAGUGUUUGCCUUGAGCGUGUUCUUUCCAAGCCCACUGCAGCUGAACGCAAGUUUGGGCUGCUCUCUGAGUGUGAUCAUCCCUUCUGCAUAUCUUGUAUUAGGAAUUGGCGUAAUAGUAACCCAACUCUGGGAAUGGACGUGAAUACCACAUUGAGGGCCUGUCCAAUUUGUCGUAAGCUCUCUUACUUUGUGAUUCCAAGUGUCAUUUGGUACUCUACAACGGAAGAAAAACAGGAAAUCAUCGACAGCUACAAGGAAAAGCUCAAAUCAAUUGAUUGCAAGCAUUUUGACUUUGGGAAUGGAAACUGCCCUUUUGGUACUAGCUGUUUUUACAAGCAUGCUUACCGAGAUGGCAGACUUGAGCAAGUAGUUCUGAGGCAUCUUGGGGCUGCAGAUGGCAACACUGUGAUUGCUAAAGACGUCAGGUUUGCUUUUCCAUUUUAUUACUUAUUUUAUCUUCUGCUCUGCUCCGUUUGACCUGUCCUCUCUUCCUAUAACUUGUUUAAUGCAAAAAAUUUUACUAACUGAAACAUGGGGCGAACAGGCUAUCAGAUUUCCUUUCUAACAUGCAUUUAAGAUGAAGGGUGAUGCUCAUACGUUCUCAUGAUACUUGUAUAAAGAAAAACGGAUAAGCUUCAAUGUCAAAGUUCCUUUUUAUUCAAGUCAAGCUCUUCUUGUUUUCAUGAAGUAUCAGUAUGAGGGAAAUGGCGAAACCAGCGCAUUGUGUGGGCAGCGUAAUAAAGUGCACCAGUGUAUGAUUAUGAACGGAAGGACGUAUAUGACGACUGUAAUCUCAAUAAGCUCUCUAAAGAAAGCGGCAUCAUACAGAACUGCAAGUGUGUAUUUUUGAUGAUGGUGUCAUGAACUUCAUGUGUCCACAUUCCUUGUUUAAGCCCUCAGCGAGUGUGAAUUGAGAAAAUAAGCACUUUGAUGGCCCAUAUAUUGAUUAUGUGAAUUGUGAAAUAACUGAUUUGGGUGAUGAAUGAAGUUCUGCAGUUAUGAGCAUCAUUUACGUACCUUCUUUUUAUGUUGGAAGAAAUUCAGGUGCUCAUUUAUACCU